UACAGGGGGUGCAAACGUUGCUCGGAAUUAUUGGGCGUAAAGCGUGCGCAGGCGGUGAUGUAAGACAGAUGUGAAAUCCCCGGGCUCAACCUGGGAACUGCAUUUGUGACUGCAUCGCUGGAGUACGGCAGAGGGGAUGGAAUUCCGCGUGUAGCAGUGAAAUGCGUAGAUAUGCGGAGGAACACCGAUGGCGAAGGCAAUCCCCUGGGCCUGUACUGACGCUCAUGCACGAAAGCGUGGGAGCAACAGG
rnacentral:rRNA from 1 species